rnacentral:rRNA from 1 species
AACGAACGCUGGCGGCAUGCCUAACACAUGCAAGUCGAACGAGACCUUCGGGUCUAGUGGCGCACGGGUGCGUAACGCGUGGGAACCUGCCUUUAGGUUCGGAAUAACUCAGAGAAAUUUGAGCUAAUACCGGAUGAUGUCUUCGGACCAAAGAUUUAUCGCCUUUAGAUGGGCCCGCGUUGGAUUAGCUAGUUGAUGGGGUAAAGGCCUACCAAGGCGACGAUCCAUAGCUGGUCUGAGAGGAUGAUCAGCCACACUGGGACUGAGACACGGCCCAGACUCCUACGGGAGGCAGCAGUGGGGAAUAUUGGACAAUGGGCGAAAGCCUGAUCCAGCAAUGCCGCGUGAGUGAUGAAGGCCUUAGGGUUGUAAAGCUCUUUUACCCGAGAUGAUAAUGACAGUAUCGGGAGAAUAAGCUCCGGCUAACUCCGUG